rnacentral:rRNA from 1 species
GAUGAACGCUGGCGGCGUGCCUAAUACAUGCAAGUCGAGCGAACAGACGAGGAGCUUGCUCCUCUGACGUUAGCGGCGGACGGGUGAGUAACAAGUGGAUAACCUACCUAUAAGACUGGGAUAACUUCGGGAAACCGGAUCUAAUACCGGAUCAUAUAUUGAACCGCAUGGUUCAAUAGUGAAAGACGGUUUUGUUGUCACUUAUAUAUUGAUCCGCGCCGCAUUAGCUAGUUGGUAAGGUAACGGCUUACCAAGGCAACGAUGCGUAGCCGACCUGAGAGGGUGAUCGGCCACACUGGAACUGAGACACGGUCCAGACUCCUACGGGAGGCAGCAGUAGGGAAUCUUCCGCAAUGGGCGAAAGCCUGACGGAGCAACGCCGCGCGAGUGAUGAAGGUCUUAGGAUCGUAAAACUAUGUUAUUAGGGAAGAACAAAUGUGUAAGUAACUAUGAACGUCUUGACGGUAACUAAUCAGAAAGCCACGGCUAACUACGUG